rnacentral:rRNA from 1 species
AUACUGGCCAGAGACCGAUAGCGCACAAGUAGAGUGAUCGAAAGAUGAAAAGCACUUUGGAAAGAGAGUUAAAAAGCACGUGAAAUUGUUGGAAGGGAAGCGCUUGCAGCCAGACUUGCCUGUAGUUGCUCAUCCGGGUUUUUACCCGGUGCACUCUUCUACGGGCAGGCCAGCAUCAGUUUGGGCGGUUGGAUAAAGGUCUCUGUCAUGUACCUCCCCUCGGGGAGAUCUUAUAGGGGAGGCGACAUGCAACCAGCCUGGACUGAGGUCCGCGCAUCUGCUAGGAUGCUGGCGUAAUGGCUGUAAGCGGCCCGUCUUGAAACACGGACC